rnacentral:ncRNA from 1 species
AUAUAACUGCCACCGGGUAGUAUGAUGCGAAUAAAGCAUCCGUUUACACAUCGUUAGGUCAUUGAAGAUGUGUAAACGGAUGUUUAUUUUUU